rnacentral:rRNA from 1 species
GAUGAACGCUGGCGGCGUGCCUAAUACAUGCAAGUCGAGCGAACAGACGAGGAGCUUGCUCCUCUGACGUUAGCGGCGGACGGGUGAGUAACACGUGGAUAACCUACCUAUAAGACUGGGAUAACUUCGGGAAACCGGAGCUAAUACCGGAUAAUAUAUUGAACCGCAUGGUUCAAUAGUGAAAGACGGUUUUGCUGUCACUUAUAGAUGGAUCCGCGCCGCAUUAGCUAGUUGGUAAGGUAACGGCUUACCAAGGCGACGAUGCGUAGCCGACCUGAGAGGGGGAUCGGCCACACUGGAACUGAGACACGGUCCAGAAUCCUACGGGAGGCAGCAGUAGGGAAUCUGCCGCAAUGGGCGAAAGCCUGACGGAGCAACGCCGCGUGAGUGAUGAAGGUCUUCGGAUCGUAAAACGCUGUUAUUAGGGAAGAACAAAUGUGUAAGUAACUAUGCACGUCUUGACGGUACCUAAUCAGAAAGCCACGGCGAACUACGU